rnacentral:lncRNA from 1 species
UAAUCAGUGCUACCAGCUGCUGUGCCUCAUCCAUGAGGGGCUGCUCCUGGCAGCGAUAGCGAGCCAUCAAGCCCGAGCCCGWCUCCCUGCUCCGACGGAGGAGCCAGCUGGAGUCAGACCAAGGCGGAAAGGAAUUAGCUGGAAGCAUCUCCUAAAUCCCCGUGGCAUUUCAUGUGUGGCAAUAGGAAACGCAGCCAGGAUUUACACUGCCGAUAGUUCCUGCAUGGCUGGAUCUCCGUGGAAAGCUAGCGUGCAAGGCGCUGUACGGCCCCGGCUGGGGGCACGUGGCUGCAACGGGACCRCAGCGACGGGAACCUGCAGCUGCGCUGGGCUCGGUGGCACUGCUGGGGCUCCCCGCGGCGGUCUGCCUUGGGCAGGCAGCGAAGAGCCUACCGAUUUGUGCGAAAAAGGAUGGAAAAUGUGAAUGACUGUAAUUGGGGGGUUUUGCAUUAGUCCUGGAAAUCCCAUGUCGGYCUCAGAAAUGCAGUCUCUGCCCCUAAACGUCUUAUAGUCCAAGGAAAAUACAGUGCUGUCGGGGAUGUCAGCCUUGCUGGGCAAGUCCCAAGGAGCCGGCUGUUUUCUUCCCUUGUUGCCUGCAAAUCCCCGACACGCUUAAAGCCUCCCUCCUGAUAGGGAGCCUAGCGCCUGAGCUCUGCAUAAACCUGCGCAAACUCGGCGGCUUAGCGUGCCGAAUGUAAUGUUCUCAGCCAGCCUCAUCUCUGCAAAUCUCCAUAUUUCCAAGGGAUAAACAUUCACCUCUCCUCCCUCCGGCUCUCACCUUAUUACCGAUUUUUCCAGCGUCGGUGUGGCAUCAGGCUCUAACCGCUGGAAGGGCAGCGGCCAGCCGGGUUUGGGGGCAGUGACGCGGGGGACUGCGGGGUCCUGCUCCGGGCUGGCCGGGCUCCCUAACGCGCAGGGCUGAUGCUGCAAACCCGACUGCAGACCUGCGUGGGGUUUAGACGAGAGGCGAGGCUGGGGCAGAGCAGGCUCCAAGCCCUGAGACACUAACCGUUCGCUCCU